GCUGGGUGUGGUGGUGUGCACCUGUAGUCCUAGCUACUUGGGAGGCUGAGGUGGGAGGAUCCCUUGGGCCCAGGAGUUUGAGGUUGCAGUGAGCUAUGAUUGCAUCACUACACUCCAGCUUGGGCAACAGAGUGGGACCCUGUCUCUA
rnacentral:SRP_RNA from 1 species